GGGUCCGCGCCUUUGUUCCCGGCGGGAAGGCCCGUGGGGACGCGACUCACCUUGCUGCUGGGCUCCAUGGCCACGCUGCGCUGGUGGCUCUGGCAGCGCCGGGUGCGCGGGUGGCGACGGGCGGGAGGGCGGUGCUCUGCGGCUCAGGCUCGUGCUCCGGUCCCUAGACUCCGACUGCGACUCCGACUCCCGCCGGUUGGCUCUCGCUCCUUCGGCGCGCUCACUCCGGAACCCGCGGCCCGCGACCUGCAAGUUCGUUGGUGCUGCCUCUUUCCUCCUGCGGGAGAGCGCGCGGAACGACAGCCUGUUCUGCUCCACAUGGCAGAAGAUGACCACACAAUACCAGAGUUUACAUGGGACCAUUUCAACAACCCUCAGAAGCAGACUUGACUGUCUCCUGGUCCCGAUUCUAAGUUUUUAGGAUAGCCUGGACUUCCUUACAGCAUGGCAGCUGGGUUCCGAGAGGGAACAUUCCCAGAGGACAAGCCCCAGUGGGGAAAAGUUUGCCAAGCCUGGUGGUAUCAGUUCAAAUCAUUCUGGAUAGAAAUUGCUUUGUCUCUUAAGGUCAAGGGUUCCGAUACCCC